CCUACGGGAGGCAGCAGUAGGGAAUAUUGGACAAUGGGCGAAAGCCUGAUCCAGCAAUGCCGCGUGAGUGAUGAAGGCCUUAGGGUUGUAAAGCUCUUUUACCAGGGAUGAUAAUGACAGUACCUGGAGAAUAAGCUCCGGCUAACUCCGUGCCAGCAGCCGCGGUAAU
rnacentral:rRNA from 1 species